rnacentral:rRNA from 1 species
UAGGGAAUCUUCCGCAAUGGGCGAAAGCCUGACGGAGCAACGCCGCGUGAGUGAUGAAGGUCUUCGGAUCGUAAAACUCUGUUAUUAGGGAAGAACAAAUGUGUAAGUAACUAUGCACAUCUUGACGGUACCUAAUCAGAAAGCCACGGCUAACUACGUGCCAGCAGCCGCGGUAAUACGUAGGUGGCAAGCGUUAUCCGGAAUUAUUGGGCGUAAAGCGCGCGUAGGCGGUUUUUUAAGUCUGAUGUGAAAGCCCACGGCUCAACCGUGGAGGGUCAUUGGAAACUGGAAAACUUGAGUGCAGAAGAGGAAAGUGGAAUUCCAUGUGUAGCGGUGAAAUGCGUAGAUAUAUGGAGGAACACCGGUGGCGAAAGCGGCUCUCUGGUCUGUAACUGACGCUGAGGCUCGAAAGCGUGGGGAGCGAACAGG